AUCUUUAGUUAGAGAUUCCUUUCUUGUGGAGUCUUUCUUGUGAGUUUUGAUCUUUGGAGGCAGGAAAAUAAUGUAUUUCUGUGGCAUGGAAUUCCUUCUUUGGCUUAUGUGAAAACUUGCAUCUGAACCUAAGAAUUCAGAAACAAAUUUGCUAGUUAGCUACUGGAGCAAUGCUCUGAAGAAUGCGAACUCUGGAGAUAAUUUUUAUGGAGUAAAAUGCUUUGAUUUUAAACUACUAAGAAAUACAACAAGGUUAUAAAUCACUACUCUAAGUGUAUGUUACAUUUUGUAAGAGAGUCUGUGAUGACUAAUCUAUGGAGUGUGCCCAUUUUUCUUCCCUGCAAUUCCUGACAAUACUGCCUAAGUAAUCUUCUGCCUCCCAUGUCCAGCUGUGAAGGACAAGAUGCUCACAAACCCACCUUGGCCUGCAGGCCAGCAAUAGCAUGGGUAGCCAGUGGAUUUUAUGAAAACUUUUUCUCCUAGUUGGCCAUGUUAACUUAGUUGACUAGCAGAUAGAAAUUUGCAUUUUCUUCCAAUAUGCUUCAUUUGGUCUUACAGCACCCAUACAGUGGAGAUUUUUUAUAUACUAGUUUGAUGUCUGCUCAGCAUAAAAAAAGUCUUUCCAAACUGUGGAAUUUCUAGGACUUUCUCUUAAGCAGCACAGACAUCAGAUGGGAACUUGACAAGAUUGCUUGAAAAGUUCCUCUGAGCUUUGAUUACUAAUCAGAUAAAGAUACUCUGAAAUUAUAUUUUGUGUGGCUAAAAAUAGAACUGCUCUUGUCUUAAAGCCUUUCAAAAACAUGCCUGAGCUGACCAGGCCCAUCAAGUUUUGGUGUAGUUGGCUGCAGUCUAUGGACACCUUUGGUACUAUGGUGUCUGCUUACAUCAGUACUGAAUUUCACCACAGUGUGUUUGGAGUGGUGAGGACUGUAAAAAGUAAUUGUAUGAAAUGCUGUGUCAAUAUUGUAUUGCUACCGCUUGUAAAUUUGCAUUGAUUUGUCUUAUAAAAGAUGUUUAUAGCAGCAAUGAACACAAUCAGAACUAUGGCAUGUGUUUGGUGAUGUGUGGUUUAGAAAAAAAUCCCAGACAGUGGUCUAAAAAUUAAAGCGAUAGGAGACAAGAAACAGUGACAGGCUGGAAGCAUCUACCUGAAACACCAUAGCAUGUUAGUAGAUGUUGGUACCACUGGGAGAUUGUCGGAUGGAUUUUGCAACACACUGAGCAGGGUGGUUUAUCAUAAAAGAAAUGAGAGCUGUUCUUCAAAGCAAACAAUACAUAUGGGUUGAAAAGUCCUGUAGUGAGAGUCCUGAGGGAAUAAAAGGUGUAGAAUGAGGACUUGAGCUGAACCUUUUUUCUUGAUUGGCAGUACUUUUUGGAGUCGACUCAAGGAAACUGGUAGGUUUUGACAGUGCGGAUUGUUUGGACAUUGUUUUAUAGCAAGCUGGAAAUGCACCUGUUCAGAAAAGCAAAAUUAAGUAAAUAUAUUCAAAGGUGAAUGUUGUGCAAACAGAAGAAAACACUUGGAAUUGCUGAACUUAUCUUUCAUCUACAUGCUGGAUCUGUUUCAAAGCUUUUGAACUUCAUGAUUGUUAUCUCAAAUUGUUUGAAACUCCAGCUUUCUGGCAUCCUCCAGCACUAACUGCAUGAAGAUACCUGUUCCAUCUGCAGAGGCGAAAUGCAACUCCAGGUUUUCUAGACCAUAGCAGACCACAUCCUAUUGCAUCCUACUGCACCUCUAUAAGCUAAUGGUUGGGUGGACAGGAGAAACAUUUUCAUCUCAAAGUGUAUUUUGGAGCUGUCCAAAUACUGGUGGUCUUUGAAGUAAUGAUCUCUUUCGUAAUACGAAGAACAUUUUCCAAAUUUCACAUGGAUUAUGUAUAUUAAGCGUUACAGUGCCCAUGAUUAUCCAGAGAGGAAAUUAUUGAAACCAGAAAGAUGAAAUGGGAAUUGUGCUCAAUAGCUUUUCUGUGAAAGAUAGGAUUGAUCCUCUAUCAUUUUUCUGCUAUAACACUGAGAUCAUAAAAGUACGUAGUGUCCCUGCUUGGAAUGACUGUAGGAAAAGUAAAUAUUCAUAGAAAUAUGCAGAUUUGAGUCAGCACAUUCAUUCCGAUCUCUGGUUGUUUUGCCUAUUUCUUCAUUUUUGAAAUUCAUAAGAUGUUCUCCUUGCCCCAAAAGGUAUUUCUUACUGCUAGUUCUAUUUACAAUAUUUAUCCAGGCAUGUGUUAUCUAAAGGGCAUCGAUGUUCAAUAUUUGAACUAGCUCAAUAUUUAAGCUGCUACUCAACUUAAUGUUCUUAAUCAAGCAUAUGGGUAUUUCAUACCUCAUUGGAAUUGCCUACAAAAUUCUGUUAGCUCUAACAUUUCAGCUCAGAGGUGGGGAGCACUACCUACUCUGGGUGAUUCAGAAUGCAGUUCACAUUUUAAAGAAGUGAAUGUGAUCUGCUUCUGGGAAACAACUAAAAGCCCAUUCUGGAAGAGAAUCUGGAGAUGAGGAAAAACAUUUGCGUGGUCAGACUCUGGUAUUUGCUGGGAGGUUGUGCCAUAGGUGGCGAUUUCUCAGCUGAAGAGCAGCGUCUAUCUGUGCCAGGAAUCAGAAGGAAGAGCCUCACCUUGGAAGUGAGGUGGCUGGAGCUGCCUCUUGGGGACACAGUCAUACUGAAAGGCUCCAGGUGUGCUCAGAAGGUGUAAUGUACAGCUGAGUGCAGCUUCCUG
ensembl:lncRNA